UACGGGGGGAGCAAACGUUGUUCGGAAUCACUGGGCGUAAAGGGCGUGUAGGCGGCUGGAUAAGUGGGAUGUUAAAUCCCCCGGCUCAACCGGGGACCUGCAUCUCAUACUGUUCAGCUCGAGCACAUCAGAGGAGACUGGAAUUCCCGGUGUAGCGGUGAAAUUCGUAGAUAUCGGGAGGAACACCGGUGGCGAAGGCGGCGACCUGGGUAGAUACUGACGCUGAGGUGCGAAAGCGUGGGGAGCAAACAGG
rnacentral:rRNA from 1 species